rnacentral:rRNA from 1 species
CUACGGGCGGCAGCAGUGGGGAAUAUUGGACAAUGGGGGAAACCCUGAUCCAGCAAUGCCGCGUGUGUGAAGAAGGCCUGCGGGUUGUAAAGCACUUUCGGUUGGGAGGACUGCUUCUAGCACUAAUAUUGUUGGAAGUUGACGUUACCUUCAGAAGAAGCACCGGCUAACUCCGUGCCAGCAGCCGCGGUAAUACGGAGAGUGCAAGCGUUAAUCGGAAUUACUGGGCGUAAAGCGCGCGUAGGCGGCUAGAUCAGUCGGGUGUGAAAGCCCCGGGCUUAACCUGGGAACUGCAUCCGAUACUGUCUAGCUUGAGGACAGGAGAGGAGAGUGGAAUUCCACAUGUAGCGGUGAAAUGCGUAGAUAUGUGGAGGAACACCAAUGGCGAAGGCAGCUCUCUGGCCUGAUACUGACGCUGAGGUGCGAAAGCGUGGGGAGCAAACAGGAUUAGAUACCCCAGUAGUC